AUCUUGGUCUCAUCGGACCACAGGACAUGGUUCCAGUAAUCCAUGUCCUUAGUCUGCUUGUCUUCAGCAAACUGUUUGCAGGCUUUCCUGGGCAUCAUCUUUAGAAGAGGCUUCCUUCUUGGACGACAGCCAUGCAGACCAAUUUGAUGCAGUGUGCAGCGUAUGGUCUGAGCACUGACAGGCUGACCCCCCACCCCUUCAACCUCUGCAGCAAUGCUGGUAGCACUCAUA